UCAACUAUCAGUCACCGCCUCUGAGACACUGCACGUGCAACUAAUUAGCUAGACCAAGAAGUCUCCAAAGACCUGGAUUCAGAAACCAAACUCCCCUUGAUUACGUGGGCCAUAUUCCUGGUGGCUGGACUUCAUUAACCUUGGCUGUGUUCAGCUAUGGAGGCCUCUGAUCGAGUCAAGAUAUUUUGCUGCCUAGUUGUUGCUGAUUUGAUUCAGGUUUUUAUUACUUUACAAAGGCAAUGCUUAUCCCUGUGGGUGAUAAGAAACCAACAAGGCCCAAGCUGCCAGCAUUGGUUUCCCCUGCCUCUAAACCAGCAUGCUCUAUUUGGGUGUUUAUUACGGGACUUUGGACUGCAGAUGGAAUUGCAAGUGCUCCCUGCUCAGGGAACUUGCCCUCAGAGGGAGAAUGCAGGCCUGCAUAAACCCCAGGAGAUCCAUUGAGGAGACACCUAAAGCAAGUCCAGUGAUGGUGUGACAGGAUGAUGCUGUGAUGCUCAUGGGUCCGUGAAGAUGUGAUGAAAGACAAGUUCAUACUGGAGCAGAGUGGGCCCCAAGUCCAGGGACUGCUGUCCUUCUAAGAAGAGCAGAGGACACAGAUGUGCACGGAGAAGAAGGCCGAGUGAGGAUGGAGGGCGAAGGGUGGGAGCUACGGGGCCACAAGCCACAGGACAGCUGAGGCCACUGCAGGCUGAAGAGGUGAGGAAGGAUCUCUCCCAAGCCUUCAACAGGAGCAGGGCCCUGCAGACACCUUGAUUUCAACUUCCAGCCUCCAGAAAGAGUGUACUCCUUCUACUUACCAAAAAAAAAAAAAA
rnacentral:lncRNA from 1 species